CCUACGGGAGGCAGCAGUGGGGGAUAUUGGACAAUGGGGGAAACCCUGAUCCAGCGACGCCGCGUGAGUGAAGAAGUAUUUCGGUAUGUAAAGCUCUAUCAGCAGGGAAGAAAGAAAUGACGGUACCUGAGUAAGAAGCCCCGGCUAACUACGUGCCAGCAGCCGCGGUAAUACGUAGGGGGCAAGCGUUAUCCGGAUUUACUGGGUGUAAAGGGAGCGUAGACGGCGAUGCAAGUCUGAAGUGAAAGGCGGGGGCCCAACCCCCGGACUGCUUUGGAAACUGUAUGGCUGGAGUGCAGGAGAGGUAAGUGGAAUUCCUAGUGUAGCGGUGAAAUGCGUAGAUAUUAGGAGGAACACCAGUGGCGAAGGCGGCUUACUGGACUGUAACUGACGUUGAGGCUCGAAAGCGUGGGGAGCAAACAGGAUUAGAUACCCUAGUAGUC
rnacentral:rRNA from 1 species